UACGUAGGGAGCGAGCGUUAUCCGGAAUUAUUGGGUUUAAAGGGUGCGUAGGCGGUCCGUUAAGUCAGCGGUAAAAUUGCGGGGCUCAACCCCAUCGAGCCGUUGAAACUGGCAGACUUGAGUUGGCGAGAAGUACGCGGAAUGCGCGGUGUAGCGGUGAAAUGCAUAGAUAUCGCGCAGAACUCCGAUUGCGAAGGCAGCAUGCCGGCUCCACACUGACGCUGAGGCACGAAAGCGUGGGGAGCAAACAGG
rnacentral:rRNA from 1 species